GCCAUAUGCAGUUUUCCCCUUGGCUGAUCUUUUCUUCUUGUGGCUUAUUCCACAAACAAGAUGCAGAAUGGCAUAUACAGAACCCUGCAACGGCCCAGCCUCAUCACAAGAGAGGAACAGACCAUAGAGGGGUGGGGCAGAAAGAGGAAUGAUUUUUUUUUAACUGCGCCUUUUAAACUGCGAAGCAGCUAAGCUCCAUAUAUACAGAAGAGCCCCAUGGAAGUCUGGGUGUAUAUAGGGUUAUGUUUUCCAGGUAUGCUAAGUUUCUAGUGCCCAGAUUAGCCAACUGCUAGCUAGAAUAUUUUUCCCACUGUAAUUGCAUUUAAAAGGGGAAAAUACAAAAGGGGAAAAUAAAUUUGAAGAGUUUCAAAUGUAUGGGAUAACAAAGAGAAAAAAUACAGCUCUAUUAAGACCCAAUGAUAGGAGCUGUCUCCAUUGCACAUUUUUAUUCUUUCUCCGAGGUCACCAAUGUCUCAAAUACCAUGUCAAAGGAAGGAGACGGGUAUAUAGGAAAUGUUUUCUCUCAAGUAUGCUAAGUUCCCAGUGCCCAAAUUAGAUGACUUCUUGCUGGAAUAUUGCUCUCAUUGCAAUUGCAUUUAAGGUCACAGGUCAUAUGUUUUGGACAACUGAUAUCAACUGACUGGCUUCCUGGUGCAACUGAACUCUUCCUCUUUUGGGACUCCACGCAGUUACCAUUGUAUCUCUAGCUUGUGACAACUCUUAAGUAAAAUACUGUGUUCUGGGAACACAAUUUUACCAGGGAUAGGAAGUAACAGUUCAAAGGCCAGGGGAUGGCUUAUUUUCUAACCAAUGAUCUUUAAUGCCCUAUUCACUCAAGAUUCUUUACAAGAGGUAUUCAUGGAGACUUGGAAUUGUAUCAAGACAACUGCUGAGGGACAGAAGAACUCCCCAGUUCUACUUAGAUUCUACCUGGACUACAGUCUCUGGAAAAUUCCCAAUCUAUUCAGAAUCCAGAACAUCUCUCACUAAAACUAAUCAAAAUAACAAACUGAGGAGGAUGAAAUAUUGAUUUUAAUUUCCUUGGACUUUCAAAUCACUGUAGCAAGAAAAUACGAUUUUGGACUUGAAUUCAUCUGGAUUUAUUAAGGCUUUAGAUUUUCAUUUCUCCCUAGACAUCUCAUAGGGAAUUGAUACUCACUUUGGAUGCAUCUUUAUAAUUUGGUAUUUUGGUUUUGAAGUAUGGUAAUGCUGUCCUUUAAUCCCACAGCAGGACAUGGGCUAUGUGCCAUCAUCAUCUGUGAUAGAAAAUAGACCAAGGGCGAAUAGAUGGCCUUGAAAACCAAGUGGCCUAGGAGUUAAUUCUAAGGAACUUGUCUGAUCUAUGUUAGAGCCUUCUCAGAGCAAAAUCUUCAUUGCCCACCUGUGGCUCCAGGAUGAUUUCCCAAGAAGCAAGGGAAGCAGGGAGGUGGGAGAUCUGUUUCUGUGACCCUUCUGUAUAUUUCAUAGAAUGGCUUGGUUUCCUGAAGCCUACUUUGCAAUUGUUGAAGUGAUUUGCCCACUCUAGAGAAGGUAUAUGAAGUGGAAAUGGAAUAUGAAGAGAUAUUCGUACAAGGGAACAAGAUGGAGUCUCACUCUGUUGCCCAGGCUGGGGUGCAGUGGUUUGAUCUUGGCUCACUGCAACUUCUGCCUCCUGGAUUCAAGCAAUUUUCCUGCCUCAGCCUCCCGAGUAGCUGGGAUUACAGGAACCCACCACCACGCCUGGCUAAUUUUUUUUUUUUUUAUUUUCAGUAGGGACAGGGUUUCACCAUGUUGCCCAGGCUGGCUUCAAACUCCUAACCUCAAGUGAUCUGCCUGCCUCAGCCUCCCAAAGUCCAAGGAUUACAGGCAUGAUCCACAGUGCCCACCCAUUAACAAAGUCUUUCUUAACAAAAUCUGCUGGCGGGGAGGGUGAGGGUGCCUAAAAUGAAGAGGUUUGAGGGGUAGGAGGGAUGCAGAUCUGUGAUUAGGCCAGGUUAGGACUAAAGGAGGGGUCCCUGGGCCAGCCCUCAGGACUGGAGAACCCCUGAGAUAGACAGGACAAUGCCCCAUCACCCUUAUGCCAAACACACCUGGAGGAUCUGAGUGUUGUCCUUCUCCUUGACUAUUGAGGAAGGAGAACUAGUCCCCUGAGAAACAGAUAAAAGAGGUCAGUAUCCUGGAUUGCAUCCUUAGACUACCAGUACUAUUUUAUCAUCUACUAAUUAAUUCUCUGGGCUGUAGAAUGUGUCUUUUCCAUUAUCAGCUACAAGUUUAGUUUCAUAUGUGGGUACUUACGAAUAUGUAUAAAAGGGAAUCAGUGUUUAAGUACAUUCUUGUACCUGAUGCUUUAUUUUCAUUUCCUUAUUGAAUCUCCUCUACACCUGCGUGUAGUUGUAUUCUUACCCAUCUAUUGUAUGUGAGAGAAACAAAACUCAAAAAGGCCAAGUAGCACACUUAUGCAAAGGAACACACUUGUGAAAAACUGGUCUGGCAUUCAAAUUUAGGUCAGAUUCCAAAGCCCCUGCUCUUUCUACAACAUCGUGGAGGCUGGUGAGAUGUAGAUUUCCUCACAAGCUGAGGAGAUUGAAUUUGGCAUUGAAUAGCGUCAUCCAAAUUCUUACCUCUGAAAAUAGUUUUGGCAGCUCCUCAAGUAACUGCUUUGUAUUUUGUUGCCUAACAUUCAUUUCUGUUUGAUA
rnacentral:lncRNA from 1 species